rnacentral:misc_RNA from 1 species
AAAUGCGAUAAGUAAUGUGAAUUGCAGAAUUCAAUGAAUCAUCGAAUCUUUGAACGCACAUUGCGCCCGCCAGUAUUCUGGCGGGCAUGCCUGUCCGAGCGUCAUUUCAACCAUCAAGCCCCCGGGCUUGUGUUGGGGACCUGCGGCUGCCCGCAGGCCCUGAAAACCAGUGGCGGGCUCGCUGUCACACCGAGCGUAGUAGCAAUCACCUCGCUCAGGGCGUGCUGCGGGUUCCGGCCGUUAAACAGCCUUACAAAACCCAAGGUUGACCUCGGAUCAGGUAGGAAGACCCGCUGAACUUAAGC